rnacentral:tRNA from 1 species
GGCAAGGUAGUGCAAUAUAUAGUGCGUCGGGCUCAUGCCCCGAAGGUGGAUAAACUGGUUUCCCCGUGCCA